AUGGUGGAAAGCUGCACUUGAAGUCCAACUCUGUCCUGGGGGAAUAAUUAUGUUCCCUGUCUUGGGAGCCUUUCUUCAGGGAGCUUGAUGGUUCCAACCCACCCAGGAGCCUGGGACAUCUGUGCCCCUGGGCAAUCCCCUGCAGUUUCCUGAUUCCAAGAUGAGGGGGUAGAAUCCGAAGAUCUCCAAGGCCUUGAUGAGUGCUACCAGUCUGCAAAUUCCCAAGCCAAGUUCUUCAAUGAAUCAAAUUUCCUCCAGUAGCCAUUUCUACCAAAGGAGCAACUGUUUUUCCUUCCCACUGACAUGGCUAUGUAUUCGAACUGGAUAUAGGUAUGAGAGAACAGAAAUAGAGAUUUGGGUGGCUUUAGCUGUUUAAAAUAAGGUGACCAAACCUCCUUUCUGCCUGUUCCUGCUAUUUCAAACACCACUGUUCUCCACACAAUGAAAAUGGCCUUGUUCCUUAAG
ensembl:lncRNA PTCSC2 papillary thyroid carcinoma susceptibility candidate 2